UUGUCCGGAGACGCAAUAUCUCUGCGACUGAAGGUUAGCUGCUUGCCGAAAGUACAGUACACGGGACAAAAAGGAAAGCUGCAAAAAAACGGGAGGGAAAUACUUUCGGUAUUGACUGAGAGGCUUUAAUAGCCGUUGAUGCAUGUCAGAAAACAAAUUUUAACAUGCCGGCCCCGUGUUUUGCAGCAAACGAAAAAACUGCUGCGGACCUGAGGCUGCGAUAGGCAGAGGUAAUUGCCACCAUCUUUAUUAGGGGCAAUGAUCUUCGGGACUCAUGCGGGAUCGCCAUAUUUAUAGGUGGCAAUCUGCAGUGGAACGCAAGCGCAGCCUUUCUUGUUUGGGAGAGGAGAUUAAGACAAGAGAAAUGUUUGUUUUUGUUUUUCUGGACUUCUUUCCCAGACUGUGAGACAUGGCGUGUAUUUCCUGGGAAGGACUUUUGACACUGGCGGAGUACUGGCUUCAGGCAGUAUAAAUUGCUGCAAGUUAUACGUUAGAUAUUUGAUGGAGGAGAAAUGCCGAAAACGCGUUCAGAACUGCAUGUUCAAAAACAAAGUUGCUGGAAAAGCUCAGAUAUUUAUUGAGAAUAAUUUGCAGACCAGGAUCACAAAGCAUGUUCUCCAUUAAGCGGAGUGAUCAGGAUCUGAGUAUCAUUGACACUUAACUGGGAAAGGGAAGAGGUUUAACCAUUCUAUGCGUGGGAGAAUAUUCCUGGACUCUUUUAUACCCCCCACAGGACCUUUCGUGAUCUAAUCCCGAAACAGUGUGAGCUGCUACAAUGCAUGUGCUAGUAAAAGCAUAAGAGGACAGAUGAGAUGAGUGCAUGGCUGGAGCUAUAACUUAAAAGGAUUUUGAACAUUAAAGGAAGAAGCACUGUUCACACCAGGGAGAAAUGCGUAUUGUCUGUGUGUCGAAGAUUCUGUGAAGAUUCAUCUGAAAUGCCCAAACACCAGCACGGUCACACUGGGGAGAGACUGUGGUAAUGUGGGGAUUGUGGGAAGGGAUUUAUUUACCCAUCCCAGCUGGAAAUGCACCAACGCAGUCACACUGGGGAGAAACUGUUCAUUUGCUCUGAUUGUGGGCUGGGAUUCACUCAGUCAAGCAACCUGCUGAAACACCAACGAGUUCACAGUGGGGACAGACUGUUCACAUGUUCCGAGUAUGGGAAGGGAUUUGCUCACUCAACCAACCUGCUGAGACACCAGCGAGUUCACUCUGGGGACAGACCAUUCACUUGUUCUAUGUGUGGAAAGGGAUUCACUCAAUCAUCCCAACUGUUAACACACCAGCAAGUUCACCACAACCACAUUUGAAGGAUUUUGCCCUUAAAUCAAGGAAUGAACUUUGAUCUUUGGGCUGUUUGUACUGGUGUCAUUAGUCCCUGCUCAAAACUUGAUCUUCUCUUGGGAAAUAAGGUAGGGCAGGUGACUGAGGGGUCAGC